ACAGUUGAAUAUCUCUACUAAACCCUACUAAGAAAAGACAAAGGUUAGUAUAUAUUUAUGAAAUAUUAGAAAGCUUAACAAGGGUAGACUAGUAUUAGUACCUUUUGCCUAUCAAAAAUGAAUGUCCAACCUCCAUCCUCUAUUUGUAUGUCUGCUAAGAGGAUAAUCAGAAAUCACAUCCAACUCUACUUGUUCUCGGCCUAAACAACAACCCAUGUGAUAGAGAAAAUAUCAUCUUUCUCAUCUCUCCCAAUAGCUGAUAAAAGUUGGUCCUCCCAUAGUCCCUUUCAAGUGGCACCCACCC
rnacentral:lncRNA from 1 species